CAGUAGCCGCGGUAACACGGAGGGCGCGAGCGUUACCCGGAUUUACUGGGCGUAAAGGGCGUGUAGGCGGCCUGGGGCGUCCCAUGUGAAAGGCCACGGCUCAACCGUGGAGGAGCGUGGGAUACGCUCAGGCUAGAGGGUGGGAGAGGGUGGUGGAAUUCCCGGAGUAGCGGUGAAAUGCGCAGAUACCGGGAGGAACGCCGAUGGCGAAGGCAGCCACCUGGUCCACUUCUGACGCUGAGGCGCGAAAGCGUGGGGAGCAAACCGGAUUAGAUACCCGCGUAGUCCCUGUCUCUUAUAC
rnacentral:rRNA from 1 species